UAUGCCAUUUUUUUGACGAUUUUAUGCCUUACUAUACAACCACCUUUGUAUAAUGAACUGAGUUAAAUUCAAAUACAGAGUAUAAUCUAGGUAAAGUUACAGUUUUAACAGUUGCUAUCACAGCAUGUUCAGAAUGUGUUGUCCGUCAGCAUUUUCCACCACCAGCUCAGACAUGCAAUCCAUUCUGCAUAUGGUAGAGUUUUAAAGAGGUGUUUGCUUUUCUGCUCUCACUUUCUCAUGCUUCAAAAUAUUAUGUAAUGACACCCAAGAGAGAGCGAUUUAUUUUGUGGUUCAGUUGGAGUUAAGUUGAAAUGAGUAUGCCCAAUUAUGAGCUAUUCCAGUCUGAUAGUAAUAGUGCAUCACAUGUCCUGUAAGCAGUUUUUCUAGGAGUGAACAACAACAAUGGUGCUGUGUCUGUGAAUGAGUUUCUUUAGUAGUUGUUGUGUUUUUGUCUCAUGGUACCUGCUGUCAGCUUAUCAGUUAUUCAUUUUGCCUCAGGAAUCCAGCGUGCUAAUUCACCAACUUCACCAAUGUUUCACUAUGCUCACUGUCAUUUCUCAAUGUGACAAUUAAAUUUGUGCAUAUUGUUGUCUCUCCCUCCCCUGGAUUCCCCUCCAUUACAGGCAUAAUCAAUCAUUCUCAUCCCAUGCAUUUCUAGAAAGAACAGCCCCAGCCUGCCGAAUGCAAACAGCAGUAACCGUGAUGAUCAGGGGAGGUGGAGACCUGCUCUCAGUCAAUUCAGAUCUUAGCCAAUCAGCAAGUCCUCCCACUCUUACAGGCUCCGCCCUUUUAUGAACUCUCACCUGAACGCAAUAGAACGCAAACCAAACUGCGUUUUUACUAUGUGCAUGACUUCUUUUUCUUUUGUCUUGCGCCCAUCUCACCCCUUUUUAUUUGGCUUCAUUCAAACUCAAAGCAGGAAGUGACCUGAAUUAAAUUGAAAUACCAUGGCAUCAGUUAGGGACAGUCUUCUUCUUCCUUGGUAAGAUAGAGUAGGUUACUACUGCCAAAAAAGUGAGAUCAUCAUCAUAUAUAUAUAAAUAAAAAGAAAAAAAAAGAGAGGAACAGAAUGGAUCCCAACUUUAGUUUCAUGGAAAUAAAUCAGUUACUCAGGGUUUUUUAAUGCCAACAAGAGAAGUGAUAGUUAACCAGGAAACUGCUGAACAACUUUGACUUAAUCUUUCACUGGGGUUGCUGAAGUGUUUUUCUUUUGUUAUGGUGUUUUUUUUUUUUUUUAAGAGACAUACAA